GAUGAACGCUGGCGGCGUGCCUAAUACAUGCAAGUCGAGCGAACAGAUGAGGAGCUUGCUCCUCUGACGUUAGCGGCGGACGGGUGAGUAACACGUGGAUAACCUACCUAUAAGACUGGGAUAACUUCGGGAAACCGGAGCUAAUACCGGAUAAUAUAUUGAACCGCAUGGUUCAAUAGUGAAAGACGGUUUUGCUGUCACUUAUAGAUGGAUCCGCGCCGCAUUAGCUAGUUGGUAAGGUAACGGCUUACCAAGGCAACGAUGCGUAGCCGACCUGAGAGGGUGAUCGGCCCCACUGGACCUGAGACACGGUCCAGACUCCUACGGGAGGCAGCAGUAGGGAAUCUUCCGCAAUGGGCGAAAGCCUGACGGAGCAACGCCGCGUGAGUGAUGAAGGUCUUCGGAUCGUAAAACUCUGUUAUUAGGGAAGAACAAAUGUGUAAGUAACUAUGCACGUCUUGACGGUACCUAAUCAGAAAGCCACGGCUAACUACGU
rnacentral:rRNA from 1 species